CCACGCUGCCCUUCGCUGCCCCCCACGCUGCCCUUCGCUGCCACCCACGCUGCCCUUCGCUGCCACCCACGCUGCCCCGGCGGUCGGCGUCGCCAGCCCGACUUUUUUUUGGGGGGGGGGGCGCAUCGCCGCUUUGCCUUAGGGCGCCUUACCGGCGGCCUCCUCUAGGCUUCCGGCGAGCCGCUCAGGCAAGGGCCCCGGGGUGGGGAGUUGAUGGCGGGUGGCGGGUGGCGCGCGGGCAAAGAGAGAGUCUCGGUUGAGUUGGAGAGGCUGCGAGAAAGUUUUAACCUUCGUGAUUUAGCGCGGGAUGUAAGGAAUGUGAUAAUGUCUCCUGGGGGCGUCGGAGUGGAUUCUCUGCUGGUGCACCGGUCGGGGGAGUUUGGGACGCUGCAGAGUUUCUCGAUUCACUCUGAACCCCGUCGCCAACAUCUCAAGAGCGGGCGGCGGAUUGUUGCUGGCCGGUUCGCAUCCGCGGAGGGAGCUGUCCCUGUCUCCGGACUACACAACGAAGAAGUUGGUCCCCGUCGUGCCCCUCCCUGCUGCGUGGUCUCCGGUUCCUUGGGUGAAGUCACGAGAUGACUUCACCGAAGGAAUGCCGAGAGUUGUCAGUCCAAUGUCCUCCUCCGUGUCGCCUUGACAGACCGCAGGCGCCGCCUGGCUAGGCGCUGAUAGCGGCGGCAGCGCCUGGCCAGGCACUGUGGCACACGACGGAGUGGGCAGCCAGCAACCACGCCCGGCCGCCUUUGUCUCCCCAGUGCGAGUCGACCGAGGGGUAGCCUCAGGACCGGUUCAGCGGUGGCCUUGAGCGGGGAGUCGAACUUGGCUCGCCCGCAGCGCAGCGCUAGCCGCGUCGGCCACUCACGCCUGUGGACAUUCCACGUUACCAUGGACGGGCGCGACGCGGGGCCGCUGUUUGUGACCGGGCAGCGAGGUGGUUGGUGGCGGGGGAGGUCAGCAACCCUGGACCGCCUCUCUCUCUCUCGCUGUGCGGGGAGGCGAAUUACUCGCUCCACCGGCGGUGGUUCAAGUUGUUGCUGCGGAGUUUCGAGAGGAUCGCAGUGUGGCGCUCCACUACGGCCCCGCGGUGUGACCGCACUGCCAAGAGUUGUGUCGUGAACGCCCUCCUCCACCCGCCUCCACCUCGCGCCGGAGCCGUCCUCGUGGCCGCUGCUGUCGGGAGAGCGGUCCGCGCGACGCGCAUUGAACGAUUGGGUUGUCCGACGUUUCGCUGGUUAGUUAAUAACCACGAGCAAGCAUCAUCAGGCAGUGAUGAUGCGUGCUGGUUGACGUCGCCCACACAUCAGCUGUGCCUGGCUGUGUGGGUCGCGAUAGGCCCCCGCCCGUAGGGGUGUAACAUAUGACAGGUGUAACAUAUGACACGUGUAACAUAUGGUCCACAGGGGUGUAACAUAUGACACGUGUAACAUAUGACAGGUGUAACAUAUGACACGUGUAACAUAUGGUCCACAGGGGUGUAACAUAUGACACGUGUAACAUAUGACACGUGUAACAUAUGACACGUGUAACAUAUGGUCCACAGGGGUGUAACAUAUGACACGUGUAACAUAUGACAGGUGUAACAUAUGGUCCACAGGGGUGUAACAUAUGGCAGGUGUAACAUAUGGUCCACAGGGGUGUAACAUAUGACACGUGUAACAUAUGACACGUGUAACAUAUGACACGUGUAACAUAUGACAGGUGUAACAUGGUCCACAGGGGUGUAACAUAUGACACGUGUAACAUAUGGUCCACAGGGGUGUAACAUAUGGACGGUGUAACAUGGAUUGCAGGGGUGUAACAUAUGAACGGUAUAACAUAUGGUCCACAGGGGUGUAACAUAUGACACGUGUAACAUAUGACACGUGUAACAUAUGGUCCACAGGGGUGUAACAUAUGGCAGGUGUAACAUAUGACAGGUGUAACAUAUGACACGUGUAACAUAUGACGUGUAAUAUAUGGACCACAGGGGUGUGACAGGUGUGUAACAUAUGGACCGCAUGGGUAUAACAUAGGAAAGAUGUAACAUGACAGGGGUAUAACAUAUGACAGGAGUAUAACAUAUGACAGGUGUGUAACAUAGAGAUGUAACAUAGGAGAGAUGUAACAUGUGACAGGUGUAUAACAUAGGAGAGAUGUAACAUAUGACAUGUGUAUACCAUAGGAGAGAUGUAACAUAUGACAGGUGUAUAACAUAGGAGAGAUGUAACAUAUGACAGGUGUAACAUAUGACAGGUGUAUAACAUAUGACAGGUGUGUAACAUAGGAGAGAUGUAACAUAUGACAGGUGUGUAACAUAGAGAUGUAACAUAUGACAGGUGUAUAACAUAUGACAGGUGUGUAACAAAGGAGAAAUGUAACAUAUGACAGGUGUGUAACAUAGGAGAGAUGUAACAUAUGACAGUUGUGUAACAUAGGAGAGAUGUAACAUAUGACAGGUGUGUAACAUAGGAGAGAUGUAACAUAAUAGGUGUAUAACAUAGGAGAGAUGUAACAUAUGACAGGUGUGUAACAUAGGAGAGAUGUAACAUAUGACAGGUGUGUAACAUAGGAGAGAUGUAACAUAUGACAGGUGUAUAACAUAUGACAGAUGUGUAACAUAGGAGAGUUGUAACACAUGACAGGUAUAUAAGAUAGGAGAGAUGUAACAUGACAGGUGUGUAACAUAUGACAGGUGUAUAACAUAGGAGAGAUGUAACAUUUGACAGGUGUGUAACAUAGGAGAGAUGUAACAUAUGACAGGUGUGUAACAUAGGACAGAUGUAACAUAUGACAGGUGUAUAACAAAGGAGAGAUAUAACAUGAAAGGUGUGUAACACAUGACAGGGGUAUAACAUAUGACAGGUGUGUAACAUAUGACAGGUGUGUAACAUAGGAGAGAUGUAACAUAUGACAGGUGUAUACCAUAGGAGAGAUGUAACAUAUGACAGGUGUAUAACAUAGGAGAGAUGUAACAUAUGACAGGUGUAUAACAUAUGACAGGUGUGUAACAUAGGAGAGAUGUAACAUAUGACAGGUGUAUAACAUAUGACAGGUGUGUAACAAAGGAGAAAUGUAACAUAUGACAGGUGUAUAACAUAGGAGAGAUGUAACAUGACAGGUGUGUAACAUAGGAGAGAUGUAACAUAUAACAGGUGUAUAACAUAGGAGAGAUGUAACAUAUGACAGGUGUGUAACAUAAGAGAGAUGUAACAUGACAGGUGUGUAACAUAGGAGAGAUGUAACAUAUGACAGGUGUAUAACAUAUGACAGGUGUGUAACAUAGGAGAGAUGUAACACAUGACAGGUAUAUAACAUAGGAGAGAUGUAACAUAUGACAGGUGUGUAACAUAGGAGAGAUGUAACAUGACAGGUGUGUAACAUAGGAGAGAUGUAACAUAUGACAGGUGUAUAACAUAUGACAGGUGUGUAACAUAGGAGAGAUGUAACACAUGACAGGUAUAUAACAUAGGAGAGAUGUAACAUCUGACAGGUGUGUAACAUAUGACAGGUGUAUAACAUAGGAGAGAUGUAACAUUUGACAGGUGUGUAACAUAGGAGAGAUGUAACAUAUGACAGGUGUAUAACAUAGAGAUGUAACAUAUGACAGGUGUAUAACAUAGGAGAGAUGUAACAUAUGACAGGUGUAUAACAUAGAGAUGUAACAUAUGACAGGUGUGUAACAUAGGAGAGAUGUAACAUAUGACAGGUGUAUAACAUAAGAGAGAUGUAACAUAUGACAGGUGUAUAACAUAGGAGAGAUGUAACAUAUGACAGGUGUAUAACAUAGGAGAGAUGUAACAUAUGACAGGUGUAUAACAUAGGAGAGAUGUAACAUAUGACAGGUGUAUAACAUAGGAGAGAUGUAACAUAUGACAGGUGUGUAACAUAGGAGAGAUGUAACAUAUAACAGGUGUAUAACAAAGGAGAGAUGUAACAUAUGACAGGUGUGUAACAUAGGAGAGAUGUAACAUAUGACAGGUGUAUAACAUAGGAUAGAUGUAACAUAUGACAGGUGUGUAACAUAGGAGAGAUGUAACAUAUGACAGGUGUAUAACAUAGGAUAGAUGUAACAUAUGACAGGUGUGUAACAUAGGAGAGAUGUAACAUAUGACAGGUGUAUAACAUAAGAGAGAUGUAACAUGACAGGUGUAUAACAUAUGACAGGUGUAUAACAUAGGAGAGAUGUAACAUAUGACAGGUGUAUAACAGAGAUGUAACAUAUGACAGGUGUAUAACAUAGAGAUGUAACAUAUGACAGGUGUAUAACAUAGGAGAGAUGUAACAUAUGACAGGUGUAUAACAGAGAUGUAACAUAUGACAGGUGUAUAACAUAGAGAUGUAACAUAUGACAGGUGUGUAA